rnacentral:rRNA from 1 species
UUUCGUGGAGGGUUCGAUUCUGGCUCAGGAUGAACGCUGGCGGCGUGCUUAACACAUGCAAGUCGAACGGGAUCUGACCAGCUUGCUGGUUGGUGAGAGUGGCGAACGGGUGAGUAAUGCGUGACCAACCUGCCCCAUGCUCCAGAAUAGCUCUUGGAAACGGGUGGUAAUGCUGGAUGCUCCAACUUGACGCAUGUCUUGUUGGGAAAGUGUUUAGUGGCAUGGGAUGGGGUCGCGUCCUAUCAGCUUGUAGGCGGGGUAAUGGCCCACCUAGGCUUCGACGGGUAGCCGGCCUGAGAGGGCGGACGGCCACAUUGGGACUGAGAUACGGCCCAGACUCCUACGGGAGGCAGCAGUGGGGAAUAUUGCGCAAUGGGGGAAA